rnacentral:rRNA from 1 species
UCCUCCAAGGCUAAAUACUCGUGAUCGACCGAUAGUGAACCAGUACCGUGAGGGAAAGGCGAAAAAGAACCCCGGGAGGGGAGUGAAAUAGAUCCUGAAAACCGCAUGCAUACAAACAGUGGGAGCCUCGCAAGGGGUGACUGCGUACCUUUUGUAUAAUGGGUCAGCGACUUACGUUCAGUUGCGAGCUUAACCGAAUAGGGGAGGCGUAGCGAAAGCGAGUCUGAACAGGGCGUUCAGUAGCUGGGCGUAGACCCGAAACCGGAUGAUCUAUCCAUGGCCAGGUUGAAGGUGCGGUAACACGCACUGGAGGACCGAACCCACUAGUGUUGCAAAACUAGGGGAUGAGCUGUGGAUAGGGGUGAAAGGCUAAACAAAUCCGGAGAUAGCUGGUUCUCCUCGAAAACUAUUAGGUAGUGCCUCGUGUAUCACUCUC